GCUUCUCUUCAAUCAAAUUCAACUGGUCGUAACGACUCUGAAUCCAUUCAACAUCAGUCAACUUGGGACUUGAGGGUAUACUUUUUUCUUUUGAAAAGAUUUGAAAAAAUUUUCCUGAUUUUUUAUUUUUCCAUCUUUUUCACCCUCUCUUUUUUUCUUCUUCUUCUUUUUUUUUUUUUUGUGUAAUGCCCCAGUUUGACUGGUUUGCUGAUUCUCAUUAUACAG
rnacentral:lncRNA from 1 species